rnacentral:rRNA from 1 species
UAGGGAAUCUUCCGCAAUGGACGCAAGUCUGACGGAGCAACGCCGCGUGAGUGAAGAAGGAUUUCGGUUCGUAAAACUCUGUUGUUAGAGAAGAACAGCGCAUAGAGUAACUGUUAUGCGUGUGACGGUAUCUAACCAGAAAGCCAUGGCUAACUACGUGCCAGCAGCCGCGGUAAUACGUAGGUAGCAAGCGUUGUCCGGAUUUGUUGGGCGUAAAGUGAGCGCAGGCGGUCAAUUAAGUCUGAUGUGAAAGCCCCCGGCUCAACCGGGGAGGGUGAUUGGAAACUGGUUGACUUGAGUGCAGAAGAGGGGAGUGGAAUUCCAUGUGUAGCGGUGAUAUGCGUAGAUAUAUGGAGGCACACCAGUGGCGAAGGCGACUCUCUGGUCUGUAACUGACGCUGAGGUUCGAAAGCGUGGGUAGCAAGCAGG